rnacentral:snRNA from 1 species
GUCAGCGGACUGCUCGAGCU